AGGACAGACGAACCCAUCACUCGAGGCAAGUUUGGAUCCUGCACAGUGGGUGAACGCUGGCACCCCAGAGGUCUUUUACAGAAGGGCCCGUAUGGAACCACUCAACAGGACUCCUGUCAAUGACCUUGUUAUUGCGGACCCUGAGGAAGCGGAGGAGGACGACAUUAUUGCAGUUC